rnacentral:rRNA from 1 species
UACGUAGGGUCCGAGCGUUGUCCGGAAUUAUUGGGCGUAAAGAGCUCGUAGGCGGUUUGUCGCGUCUGCUGUGAAAUCCCGAGGCUCAACCUCGGGCCUGCAGUGGGUACGGGCAGACUGGAGUGCGGUAGGGGAGAAUGGAAUUCCUGGUGUAGCGGUGGAAUGCGCAGAUAUCAGGAAGAACACCCGUGGCUAAGGCGGCUCUCUAGUACGGUACUGACGCUGAGACGCGGAAGCGUGGGGAGCGAACAGG